rnacentral:rRNA from 1 species
GACGAACCGUGCGAACGUUGUUCGGAAUCACUGGGCUUAAAGGGCGCGUAGGCGGGCGCACAAGUCAGGGGUGAAAGCCCACGGCUCAACCGUGGAAGGGCCUUUGAUACUGUGUGUCUGGAGGGAGGUAGGGGCGUGCGGAACUUCCGGUGGAGCGGUGAAAUGCGUAGAUAUCGGAAGGAACACCGGUGGCGAAAGCGGCGCGCUGGACCUCUUCUGACGCUGAGGAGCGAAAGCGUGGGGAGCGAACAGG